AGCGAACGCUGGCGGCAGGCCUAACACAUGCAAGUCGAACGAACUCUUCGGAGUUAGUGGCGGACGGGUGAGUAACACGUGGGAACGUGCCCUUUGGUUCGGAAUAACUCAGGGAAACUUGUGCUAAUACCGAAUGUGCCCUUCGGGGGAAAGAUUUAUCGCCAUUAGAGCGGCCCGCGUCUGAUUAGCUAGUUGGUGAGGUAACGGCUCACCAAGGCGACGAUCAGUAGCUGGUCUGAGAGGAUGACCAGCCACACUGGGACUGAGACACGGCCCAGACUCCUACGGGAAGCAGCAGUGGGGAAUCUUGCGCAAUGGGCGAAAGCCUGACGCAGCCAUGCCGCGUGAAUGAUGAAGGUCUUAGGAUUGUAAAAUUCUUUCACCGGGGACGAUAAUGACGGUACCCGGAGAAGAAGCCCCGGCUAACUUCGUG
rnacentral:rRNA from 1 species